rnacentral:rRNA from 1 species
AGAUGGCGACCGGCGCACGGGUGAGUAACACGUAUCCAACCUGCCGAUAACUCGGGGAUAGCCCUUCGAAAGAAAGAUUAAUACCCGAUGGCAUAAUUAGACCGCAUGGUCUUAUUAUUAAAGAAUUUCGGUUAUCGAUGGGGAUGCGUUCCAUUAGGCAGUUGGUGAGGUAACGGCUCACCAAACCUUCGAUGGAUAGGGGUUCUGAGAGGAAGGUCCCCCACAUUGGAACUGAGACACGGUCCAA